GACGAACGCUGGCGGCGUGCCUAAUACAUGCAAGUCGAACGCAGUGGGGACGGGUGAGUAACACGUUGGUAACCUCCCAUCAGAGGGGAUAACACUUGGAAACAGGUGCUAAACCGAUACUGAUGGAUGGACCCGCGGUGCAUUAGCUAGUUGGUGGGGUAACGGCUCACCAGGGCCACGAUGCAUAGCCGGCCGGGGAGGGUGACCGGCCACACUGGGACUGGGACACGGCCCAUACUCCUACGGGGGGCAGCAGGAGGGAAUCUUCGGCAAUGGACGAAAGUCUGACCGGGCAACGCCGCGUGAGGGAAGAAGGUUUUCGGAUCGUAAAACUCUGUUGUUAGAGAAGCGGUAUCUAACCAGAAAGCCACGGCUAACUACGUGCCAGUAGCCGCGGUAAUAC
rnacentral:rRNA from 1 species